AUUCCAGCUCUAAUAGCGUAUACUAAAUUUGUUGCGGUUGAAACGCUCGUAGUUGAAUUGGGCGAUGCUCAAUUGUUGGCGGUGACCCACGACACUGUCGUGCUUGUGUUGCCGCCGGGGUGUCGUGUAUGUGCAGCGUUUUGGUAGUAAUACCCGCUGCAAUUUUACUUUGAGUAAAUUAGAGUGUUCAAAGCAGGCCGCUUGCGGCCACUGAAUACACCAGCAUGGGAUAAUCGAAAAGGACUUUGGGCGCUUGUCUUUUAUUGUUUGGUUUCCACUGCGUCCGAGGUAAUGAUUAACAGGGACAGUUGGGGGUAUUUGUAUUAACCAGUCAGAGGUGAAAUUCUUGGAUUUGGUUAAGACAAACGCGUGCGAAAGCAUUUGCCAAGGAUGUUUUCAUCA
rnacentral:rRNA from 1 species